rnacentral:rRNA from 1 species
AUUGAACGCUGGCGGCAGGCCUAACACAUGCAAGUCGAACGAGUGGCGGACGGGUGAGUUAUGUCUGUGAAAUUGCCCGAUGGAGGGGGAUAACUACUGGAAACGGUAGUUAACACCGCAUUCCAUCGGAUGUGCCCAGAGGGGACUAGCUAGUAGGUGGGGUAACGGGUCACCUAGGCGACGAUCCCUAGCUGGUCUGAGAGGAUGACCAGCCCGACUGGAACUGAGGCAAGGCCCAGACUCCUACGGGAGGCAGGAGUGGGGAAUAUUGCACAAUGGGCGCAAGCCUGAUGCAGCCAUGCCGCGUGUAUGAAGAAGGCCUUCGAGUUGUAAAGUACUUUCAGCAAGGAGGCGUUACUCGCAGAAGAAGCACCGGCUAACUCCGUGCCAGCAGCCGCGGUAAUUC